CUAAAAUCAUUAGAAACACUCACAAAUCUCCUGUUAUUCAAUUAACCAUUUACAAAACUUAUAUCAAAUCCAAUGUUAUUGAAAGGUAAACAUUAUUUUGAUAAAAAAGCUAUGAAUGGGAUUUGGGGAUACUUUGAGUUCAUUUUUAGUUAAAAAUGUCGCUGUGAAACUCCUACUUCUACAUGUGUUAUUUGGAGAGACUUCUAAAUAAAAAUAACACGACAUCUAUCCAAAGACGAACAAGAAAAUAUUUACAAAAGACAACUGAUGGCAGACUUAUUGUCUCUCUGCAACUUCAUUGGCAGAUACAAAACUUUAAUUUCAAUCCAAACCCAGAUAACCUCUGAUCACUUCAUCCAUGGAGAUCAUCUCAAACCCCAUAAAGCUUCUCCAUUUUAUCAAUUAUUGCUACUCUGUUCAUCUUCUUCUUCCUCUGCUUUUCUCCCGCCAUGGCUACUGAUGAAGAUGACAUAAGAUGCCUACGAGGAAUCCAGACCUGAUUCCUCUCUCACCGACCCUCAGAGAGUUCUCAAAUUAUGAAAUUUCGGCGGCGCGUCUUGUUGGAACAAUCAAGAGAACAUAGUCAUCAAUCUCGUGCUUUAAGACAUGGGUUUAUCUGGUCGGAUCCCAGAGUCUUUUCAAUAUUAUGGUAGCUUACAAAAGCUUGAUCGAUCUAGCAAUCAAUAGUCUGGUAACAUUCCUCCAAAGCUAUGUACUUGGUAACCGUUCUUGAUGUCCCUUGAUCUGUUUAAUAAUGAAUUGGAUGCUGGUGUGUUUGGAGUUUGAUGGUAUAUACGAGAAAGAGAGUAGUUAAAAACGAAGGAGUUAAUAUCUUAGCGCAGAGACUUAGCCAUAUGGUAGCGCAAGUCUCUUUGUUUAAGAAGCCUUUGGUUAAGGUUAAGCUUGGGGACUUGAUGGCUGCAACUAAUGGUUUCAGCUCUGAGAACAUUAUCUUUACAACUAAAACAGGAACAACGUAUAAGCUGAUUUUUCUUGAUGGCUCAGCACUUGCAGUGAAGCACUUGAGUGAGUGUAAGCUUGGGGAGAAGGAGUUUCGGUAUGAGAUGAAUCAGUUGUGGGAGCUGUGUAACCGUAACUUGUUCAGAAGUUCUUCUUCUCAGUAGUAGCACCUCCACCAGACCUCAUGAACACUAGACAUAUCCUCCCUCUUCCUCUUAGCAACCUUAAGAGCCCUCUUUCUUUACCAACUUUGAGAAGCCUCAAUGGUUUUCUCUCGUAAGGAGCAAAUUCAGUUAGUUCCAUUAUCAAUGAUCUGAUGAACCACAUUGUCUUCCUCGUUUUCCCUUUGCGAGAGUUACGAUACGGAGCAAACUCGUGUCUUGUAAACGAUGUGUCAUUUGUUCAAAAAAUAAUGAAACAACAUAGAUUAAUAAUAUCAAA